GACGAACGCUGGCGGCGUGCUUAACACAUGCAAGUCGAACGGUGAAGCGCCUUCCUUUUUGGUGGGUGUGGAUGAGUGGCGAACGGGUGAGUAACACGUGAGUAACCUGCCCCCUUCUUCUGGAUAACCGCAUGAAAGUGUGGCUAAUACGGGAUAUUCUGGGUCUGUCGCAUGAUGGGUCUGGGAAAGAUAUUGUUUCGGUGGGGGAUGGGCUCGCGGCCUAUCAGCUUGUUGGUGGGGUGAUGGCCUACCAAGGCGGUGACGGGUAGCCGGCCUGAGAGGGUGGACGGUCACACUGGGACUGAGACACGGCCCAGACUCCGACGGGAGGCAGCAGUGGGGAAUAUUGCACAAUGGGCGCAAGGCUGAUGCAGCGACGCCGCGUGAGGGAUGGAGGCCUUCGGGUUGUGAACCUCUUUCGCCAGUGAAGCAGGCCUGCCUCGUUUGUGGGUGGGUUGACGGUAGCUGGAUAAGAAGCGCCGGCUAACUACGUG
rnacentral:rRNA from 1 species